CUACGGGACGCUCCAGUGAGGAAUAUUGCGCAAUGAGCGAAAGCUAGACGCAGCAACGCCGCGUGAGCGAUGAAGGCCUUCGGGUCGUAAAGCUCUUUUCUGGGGGAAGAGGAAGGACGGUACCUCAGGAAUAAGUGUCGGCUAACUACGUGCCAGCAGCCGCGGUAAAACGUAGGACGCAAGCGUUAUCCGGAUUUACUGGGCGUAAAGCGCGUGCAGGCGGACCGUUAAGUCGUGCGUGAAAGCUCCCUGGCUCAACCGGGAGAGGUCGUACGAAACUGGCGGACUAGAGGACAGCAGAGGAGUGUGGAAUUCCGGGUGUAGUGGUGAAAUGCGUAGAUAUCCGGAGGAACACCAGUGGCGAAGGCGGCACUCUGGGCUGUACCUGACGCUAAGACGCGAAAGCAUGGGUAGCGAACGGGAUUAGAUACCCCGGUAGUC
rnacentral:rRNA from 1 species